GACGAACGCUGGCGGCGUGCCUAAUACAUGCAAGUAGAACGCACAGUUUAUACCGUAGCUUGCUACACCAUAGACUGUGAGUUGCGAACGGGUGAGUAACGCGUAGGUAACCUGCCUGGUAGCGGGGGAUAACUAUUGGAAACGAUAGCUAAUACCGCAUAAUAUUAAUUAUUGCAUGAUAAUUAAUUGAAAGGUGCAAUUGCACCACUACCAGAUGGACCUGCGUUGUAUUAGCUAGUAGGUGAGGUAACGGCACACCUAGGCGACGAUACAUAGCCGACCUGGGAGGGUGAUCGGCCACACUGGGACUGAGACACGGCCCAGACUCCUACGGGAGGCAGCAGUAGGGAAUCUUCGGCAAUGGACGAAAGUCUGACCGAGCAACGCCGCGUGAGUGAAGAAGGUUUUCGGAUCGUAAAGAUCUGUUGUAAGAGAAGAACGGGUGUGAGAGUGGAAAGUUCACACUGUGACGGUAGCUUACCAGAAAGGGACGGCUAACUACGUG
rnacentral:rRNA from 1 species